rnacentral:rRNA from 1 species
ACGUGGUCGUAGACCCGAAACCAGGUGAUCUACCCAUGUCCAGGGUGAAGUUCAGGUAACACUGAAUGGAGGCCCGAACCCACGCACGUUGAAAAGUGCGGGGAUGAGGUGUGGGUAGGGGUGAAAUGCCAAUCGAACCUGGAGAUAGCUGGUUCUCUCCGAAAUAGCUUUAGGGCUAGCCUCAAGGUAAGAGUCUUGGAGGUAGAGCACUGAUUGGACUAGGGGCCCCUACCGGGGUACCGAAUUCAGUCAAACUCCGAAUGCCAAUGACUUAUCCUUGGGAGUCAGACUG